rnacentral:misc_RNA from 1 species
GGGAAUUUAAAUUUCGGUGAGGAAACCUACUGUGAAUUAGUUAAAAGGGUGGGUUUCUUAAAGAAGGAAAUCUCAAGGAUUUAACACAUUUGAUCAUUGAAGCUCAAAAUAUAGAGCCAGCAUAACAGCCAAAGUGAGAAUUUUAAUCCAUCACCUUGAUGGUUGAAAGUUCAAACCUCAAACCUCCCCAAGAAUUAUCAAUGCAAGGCAUGGAGAGUUAGCACCAGGCCAAUGUCCCAUUGGAGUUUGUUUCUUUCCUUUACUCUUUCCUGGGUCCACAACUGGG